rnacentral:tRNA from 1 species
GGAGGGGUGUCCGAGCGGCUGAAGGAGACCGUCUUGAAAACGGUUGGGCGCGUGAGCGUCUCGUGGGUUCGAAUCCCACCCCCUCCGCCA